AACUCCGAAUGCCAUGUACUUAUACUCGGGAGUCAGACUGCGAGUGAUAAGAUCCGUAGUCGAAAGGGAAACAGCCCAGACCACCAGUUAAGGUCCCCAAAUAUAUGUUAAGUGGAAAAGGAUGUGGGGUUGCUUAGACAACCAGGAUGUUGGCUUAGAAGCAGCCACCAUUGAAAGAGUGCGUAAUAGCUCACUGGUCGAGUGACCCCGCGCCGAAAAUGUACCGGGGCUAAACAUAUUACCGAAACUGUGGAUGAACCUCUUUAGAGGUUCGUGGUAGGAGAGCGUUCUAAGGGCGGUGAAGUCAGACCGGAAGGACUGGUGGAGCGCUUAGAAGUGAGAAUGCCGGUAUGAGUAGCGAAAGAAGGGUGAGAAUCCCUUCCACCGAAUAUCUAAGGUUUCCUGAGGAAGGCUCGUCCGCUC
rnacentral:rRNA from 1 species